GACGGAGGGUGCAAGCGUUGUUCGGAUUGACUGGGCGUAAAGGGCGUGUAGGCGGUUGGUUAAGUCGGAUGUGAAAGCCUGGGGCUCAGCCCCAGAAGUGCAUCCGAUACUAGCUAGCUAGAGCGCGAUAGAGGAGGGUGGAAUUCCCGGUGUAGCGGUGAAAUGCGUAGAUAUCAGGAGGAACACCGGCGGCGAAGGCGGCCCUCUGGAUCGUUGCUGACGCUGAGGCGCGAAAGCCGGGGGAGCAAACAGG
rnacentral:rRNA from 1 species